rnacentral:rRNA from 1 species
UACGUAGGGUGCAAGCGUUGUCCGGAAUUAUUGGGCGUAAAGAGCUCGUAGGCGGUUUGUCGCGUCUGCUGUGAAAUCUGGAGGCUCAACCUCCAACCUGCAGUGGGUACGGGCAGACUAGAGUGCGGUAGGGGAGAUUGGAACUCCUGGUGUAGCGGUGGAAUGCGCAGAUAUCAGGAAGAACACCGAUGGCGAAGGCAGAUCUCUGGGCCGUAACUGACGCUGAGGAGCGAAAGCAUGGGGAGCGAACAGG